GAGAGGGAUAUCCGGGAAACUGGGGCUAAUACUCAUAGACUAUGAAUGCUGGAAUGCUUCGUAGUUCAAAGGUCCGCCGCCAUAGGAUGGGUCUGCGGCCGAUUAGGUAGUUGUUGGGGUAACGGCCCAACAAGCCUGUAAUCGGUACGGGUUGUGGGAGCAAGAGCCCGGAGAUGGAUUCUGAGACACGAAUCCAGGCCCUACGGGGCGCAGCAGGCGCGAAAACUUUACAAUGCGGGAAACCGUGAUAAGGGAACUCCGAGUGCCCGUUAAAUCGGGCUGUCCAUCAGUUUAAAAAACUGGUGAAGAGAGGGCCGGGCAAGACCGGUGCCAGCCGCCGCGGUAAUACCGGCGGCUCGAGUGGUGGCCACUAUUACUGGGCUUAAAGCGUUCGUAGCUGGUUUGUUAAGUCUCUGGGGAAAUCUUCCGGCUUAACCGGAAGGCGUCUCAGGGAUACUGGCAGACUAGGGACCGGAAGAGGUGAGGGGUACUCCAGGGGUAGGAGUGAAAUCCUGUAAUCCUUGGGGGACCACCUGUGGCGAAGGCGCCUCACCAGGACGGCUCCGACAGUGAGGGACGAAAGCUGGGGGAGCAAACCGGAUUAGAUACCCGGGUAGUCCCAGCCGUAAACGAUGUGCGUUAGGUGUAUCGGUGGCCACGAGUCACCGAGGUGCCGAAGAGAAAUCGUGAAACGUACCGCCUGGGAAGUACGGUCGCAAGGCUGAAACUUAAAGGAAUUGGCGGGGGAGCACCACAACAGGUGGAGCCUGCGGUUUAAUCGGACUCAACGCCGGAAAACUCACCAGAUAAGACAGCUGAAUGAUAGUCGGGCUGAAGACUCUACUUGACUAGCUGAGAGGAGGUGCAUGGCCGUCGUCAGUUCGUACUGUGAAGCAUCCUGUUAAGUCAGGCAACGAGCGAGACCCACGCCAACAGUUGCUAGCUCGUCCCCCGGGAUGGAGAGGACACUGUUGGGACCGCCUCUGCUAAAGAGGAGGAAGGAAUGGGCAACGGUAGGUCAGCAUGCCCCGAAUUAUCUGGGCCACACGCGGGCUACAAUGGGUGGGACAAUGGGUAUCGACACCGAAAGGUGAAGGCAAUCUCCUAAACCCAUCCUUAGUUCGGAUUGUGGGCUGCAACUCGCCCACAUGAAGGCUGGAAUUCUGUUAGUAAUCGUGU
rnacentral:rRNA from 1 species